rnacentral:rRNA from 1 species
CGCGUAGGCGGCGCGGGUAGUCGUCGGUGAAAGCUCAGGGCUCAACUCUGAGUCGGCCGGUGAUACUCCCGUGCUCGAGCACUGUAGAGGCAGGUGGAAUUCCGGGUGUAGCGGUGGAAUGCGUAGAGAUCCGGAAGAACACCGGUGGCGAAGGCGGCCUGCUGGGCAGUUGCUGACGCUGAUGCGCGACAGCGUGGGGAGCAAACA